rnacentral:rRNA from 1 species
GACGAACGCUGGCGGCGUGCUUAACACAUGCAAGUCGAACGGUGAAGCUCCAGCUUGCUGGAGUGGAUCAGUGGCGAACGGGUGAGUAACACGUGAGCAACCUGCCCCAGACUCUGGAAUAAGCGCUGGAAACGGCGUCUAAUACUGGAUACGAGAUCAAGCCGCAUGGUUAUGGUCUGGAAAGUUUUUCGGUUUGGGAUGGGCUCGCGGCCUAUCAGCUUGUUGGUGAGGUAAUGGCUCACCAAGGCGACGACGGGUAGCCGGCCUGAGGGGGCGACCGGCCACACUGGGACUGAGACACGGCCCAGACUCCUACGGGAGGCAGCAGUGGGGAAUAUUGCACAAUGGGCGAAAGCCUGAUGCAGCGACGCCGCGUGAGGGAUGACGGCCUUCGGGUUGUAAACCUCUUUCAGCAGGGAAGAAGCGAAAGUGACGGUACCUGCAGAAGAAGCACCGGCUAACUACGUGC